UACGUAGGUCCCGAGCGUUGUCCGGAUUUAUUGGGCGUAAAGCGAGCGCAGGUGGUUUAUUAAGUCUGGUGUAAAAGGCAGUGGCUCAACCAUUGUAUGCAUUGGAAACUGGUAGACUUGAGUGCAGGAAAGGAGAGUGGAAUUCCAUUUGUAGCGGUGAAAGGCGUAGAUAUAUGGAGGAACACCGGUGGCGAAAGCGGCUCUCUGGCCUGUAACUGACACUGAGGCUCGAAAGCGUGGGGAGCAAACAGG
rnacentral:rRNA from 1 species